rnacentral:rRNA from 1 species
UUUAGAUCCUGGCUCAGGAUGAACGCUGGCGGCGUGCUUAACACAUGCAAGUCGAACGGAGUUAACAUUUUUGAAGCAAAUAGCUUGCUAGGAGCAGAGAUGUUGUUAACUUAGUGGCGGACGGGUGAGUAACGCGUGGGUAACCUGCCGUAUACAGGGGGAUAACACUUAGAAAUAGGUGCUAAAACCGCAUAAGCGCACAGUUCCGCAUGGAAUGGUGUGAAAAACUCCGGUGGUAUACGAUGGACCCGCGUCUGAUUAGCCAGUUGGCAGGGUAACGGCCUACCAAAGCGACGAUCAGUAGCCGGCCUGAGAGGGCGGACGGCCACAUUGGGACUGAGACACGGCCCAAACUCCUACGGGAGGCAGCAGUGGGGGGAUAUUGCACAAUGGGGGAAACCCUGAUGCAGCGACGCCGCGUGAGUGAAGAAGUAUUUCGGUAUGUAAAGCUCUAUCAGCAGGGAAGAAGAUGACAGUACCUGAGUAAGAAGCCCCGGCUAACUACGUG